AGUUAAGUUGGGGCUUUUAGCCCGUGGUUUUGCCAGUACUGAAAGGGGUUUUUUUUAGCUGGUGAAGGAACUACCUGCAAUGUAUUUUGUUCCUGUGUUUUAACUGCUGCAAAUAAAAGCUAUUGGAAGGUGUUAUUGUCAGCAGUUGGAUUCGUCUGUCUUCUUCCUCGUGCCUAAAACCAAAAGUAGCUCACGGAGAGACUGCGUCGAGAGAAGAGAGAGAGAGAGAGCCUUUUGGAGGAGCUCGAAGGCUGUUUGCCGGCUGGUUCGCAAGAGUGCAGGAACGCCAGAGCAAAGGGCUUGGCUCAUACAUGGUGGCAGCGACUUUAGAACCCUCAGCCAUUUGACAAAAGGCAGGAUUAUUUUGAGGGUCCUUGGACCUACGUUCCCAACACCAGCGAGGAGCCCAGUGAGGAGCAGAAAGCACCAGAAUGGCCCAGCUGGUCCAGCGAGUGGGAGUCGACGUACAGUGAGCCUGAAUCAAUCAGGCGGAAUCCCACUGAAGAGGAGGAGGAGGAGGAGGCGGCGGCGGCGGCGGCAGAAGACGGAACAACCUGGAGAGGACUCUUCUUCAGCUAUACCACCAGCAAUAAUAAUCGUACAGUCACCCUCCAGAUGAUAAACAUCGAAAUCUCGAAUGAAGGAAUGGAAUUACAUCAAUGAUCACAACUUCAUUUUGCCAAAGGGGGCACAGCAAAUGCAACUGUGUGCCAGCACAGUUGUGAAAAGAAAAAGACUUUGAUAAAUGAAAACUGCAAGUGAUGAGUCCUGGAAAUCUACAAGAUCCAUCCCUGUCAACCCCUUUAUAAAGAAAAUUAUUUCUACUUUAGUUUUUUUUUUUUUUUUGCAUUCUUGUUUAAGAAGUUUCAAUGCAUCGAUUUGCUAAACACAACCCAGCAAAAGUUAGCUGGGGAUUAACUCCAAUUGAGAAAUCAUUUGAAUCGCAGUUUAAUUGGACCAAAUAGCAACAAACUUCUGCUGGGUUGUAAGUUGCUUGGUUUUCUCAAAUGUGCUGUUGGCUUUUAUAAAACGCUUCCAGUAAAUAGGACAUCAGAUCGUUCUUGUCCACUAAUAAAAGAGGUUGUUGUUUUCA